CUGGGGUGUCGGCUCCCUCCCCGGCGUUAAACCCAACGGCAGCAGCCGUAGAGCAGCGGGUCUUGAGGGGCGGGCUAGGGGGAAGCGACCCUCCAGGACCUCUCCACAGUACAUCCGAGCGGUGGGGACAGGACCGGUGCAAGGGAGGGUUCCUGACCGCCGAGAGGGAGAGAAGCGGGGGAGCAGAGGCAGAGGGAGGUACCACAGUGGGAGAAGAAGCUGACUGGGAAACAGAGCUUUCCCAGGGAUUGAUUUUUAACCCCCCACCAUGGCUGUAUCUAGCAGAAAGACAUUUGGGAUUGGCCUGGAGCCUGAGCCAUACCAGCCACUUAGCACGGUCUCAAGGGGACCAAGCAACUCUCCUGCCUGAUCCUUACAGAGGUCGUGCCAUGCCCCGUCAGCCACCAAUAGUCCCUUUGCCAUUGGAAGACAGAAUCCUCCUGGUAUCCACCGGCCACAUCUCCUACCAUCUUG